ensembl:lncRNA
AUCAGAAACAACUGCCUGUCAGCCGCUGAAGACCAACGAUGGGGACUCAGCCAACGCGUGGGCGGCCAGCAGGGACCGCAAAGGUUGCAUGAAGAAGAGUCGGCGAAAACAUCGCAGCCACCGCAGAACCAGGAACCGCUCCUUCGAUGAGCUUCUGUCUCCCCGGAAAGGGAAGAAGAAAAAACGAAAGUCUGAACGGAGGAGGAAAAGAAGCAGGUCUCCUUCACACAGCCUGCCCCCUCUAAGGAAGAAGAAAAAGAAGAAGAAGAAGAGUUCCAAGAAAAGCAAAGGACACAGGUAGAUCUUUAAAAAAGGAAACGAACAUGAAAAACCUGCUCCAACAUUUAUUUUAUCUGAUCAAAUCUGUUGUUCUUUUUAAUAAAUAUUUCAGGUGUACCUCAAAGAAGUCAAAACACAGCUCUUCAAGUUUAAAGCAUAAGCAUAGGAGGGAUGAACGGAAGCACAAGAAAAGUUCUCGGAUUCGCAAACAUCGGAGACGACGCGAUCGGAGGUUGCGGUCGGAUACUUCCUGCUGCCAUUCCAAAACAGAGGACAGAUAUCCUCUGCAUAAGUCUGUGGUUCAUCAGGCUUUUAGAGACCUAGCAGCUGUUGAAGAGGAAGCCAGAGCAGCCCUGAGCCACACGGACACCAGACCACCAACCAAAUCUGUUUGUACCGCGGCUCCAAAAUAUCGCUCCGUCCUCUCGGCCAGCGCCAUUUUGCCCUCAAAUCCUGGAAAAGUGCUUUUCAACGGAAGCAGAGCUCAAAAUUUGCCAAACUGCAGAGAAGGUCCGCAUGAUUAUGAUUCUGGUAAUGACACAUCUUCACCUCCAUCAAGCAAAACCGGUGUUUCCCAAGGGAGCGCCGCUGAGUAUGCCAGGACCGGACGUGUGGCCUCGGCGUUCAGAGACAGCGCCUCGGAUUCAGGGAACUCUGUGACCAGCUUUGCAUCUUCCUGCAAACCUUUCGGGGAAACCAGCCUGUCUGCAACCCUCUGCAAUCAAAUCAGGAACAGGGAGCAGAUAACCUUGGGGUGUCACGUAGAGGUUGUCGGAUCGUCUGAGUCAACCAGCUGUGAAUCGAGGAGGAGGAGGGGUUCGUCUCGGACAAAAGGUCGCUCUUCCACCAGCAGGAGCAGAUCCUCAGGGAGUUCCAAAUACUUGGGACGCUAUUCCAGAAGCUCCUCGUUGUCUUCUCGCAGCUCGUACUCACGAUCCCCCAGUCACUCAGAUGUCAGGCGAAGAGGCAGCAUGAGCAGCCUGAGCUCCAGAGGAAGCUACUCCAGACACAGUGAUGACAGACUUUCAGACAGAAAGAGACGAGCAGACUCCAGAGAGACAGACGCAAAGCAAGGCCGCAAAGUCAGGAAGCGAGGAAGGCGCAAAUCCUACACUCCCAUGAGGAAGAGGAGGAGGGACUCGCCGAGUCAUCUAGAAGCUCGGCGCAUCACAAGUGCGAGGAAGAGGCCCAUUCCUUAUUUCCGGCCAAGCCCCCCCUCCAGCAUUCGUUCCACCAGCGUGUCGUCCUGGAGCAGCAUCUUCACCCGCAGUCGAAGCCCCAUCCACAGCAUCAGCCGCAGUCGCAGUCGCAGCCGCAGCCGCAGUUUGCUCAUCAAACGCAGGAAAACGAGGCAUUAG